rnacentral:rRNA from 1 species
AGCAGCCGCGGUAAUUCCAGCUCCAAUAGCGUAUAUUAAAGUUGUUGCAGUUAAAAGCUCGUAGUUGAAUUUCGGGAUCAAGGAAUCGGUCAUGCCUUGGUAUGUACUGGUUUUAUUGGUUCUCACCUUCUAAAGAACCAUAAUGUCAUUUAUUUGAUGUUAUGGGGAAUUAGGACUGUUACCUUGAAAAAAUUAGAGUGUUCAAAGCAGGCCUUUGCUCGAAUACGUUAGCAUGGAAUAAUAGAAUAGGACGUGCGGUCCUAUUUUGUUGGUUUCUAGGACCGCCGUAAUGAUUAAUAGGGACAGUUGGGGGCAUCCGUAUUCAGUUGUCAGAGGUGAAAUUCUUGGAUUUACUGAAGACGAACUACUGCGAAAGCAUUUGCCAAAGAUGUUUUCAUUAAUCAAGAACGAAAGUUAGGGGAUCGAAGACGAUCAGAUACCGUCGUAGUCUUAACCAUAAACUAUGCCGACUAGGGAUCGGAUGAUGUUAAUUCUUUUUAAUGACUCAUUCGGCGCCUUACGGGAAACCAAAGUGUUUGGG